rfam:Otolemur garnettii contig183406, whole genome shotgun sequence.
AACCUCAAAAUUGACUACUACAAUCUGCAAGAGAAGUUUUUUGUUAUUUCUUAUGUGCUAUACGAAUAUGUGAAGGUUAAUUAGCAGUAUAACUAUAAAUAAUAAUGCUGCCAGUCUCCUUCAGACAAGA